rnacentral:misc_RNA from 1 species
UAAAGAAGUUGAAAAUUUUGAAAAAAAUUUAGAAGAAUGUAUAAUUAGAAUAAUUAAUAUAGAGAAGUGUUUAAAGGAGUUGAUGGAGUUGAAAAUUAAGGUUCGAGAAUUACGUGAAGAAUGUAGAAGUUUUAGGAGUCGAUGCGAUUAAUUGGAAGAAAGGGUAUUAGUGAUGGAAGAUGAAAUGAAUGAAAUGAAGCGAGAAGGGAAGUUUAGAGAAAAAAGAAUAAAAAGAAAUGAAUAAAGUUUUUAAGAAAUAUGGGAUUAUGUGAAAAGAUUAAAUUUAUGUUUGAUUGGUGUAUUUGAAAGUGAUGGGGAGAAUGGAAUUAAGUUGGAAAAUAUUUUGUAGGAUAUUAUUUAGGAGAAUUUUUUUAAUUUAGUAAGGUAGGUUAAUAUUUAAAUUUAGGAAAUAUAGAGAAUGUUAUAAAGAUAUUUUUUGAGAAGAGUAAUUUUAAGAUAUAUAAUUGUUAGAUUUAUUAAAGUUGAAAUGAAGGAAAAAAUGUUAAGGGUAGUUAGAGAGAAAGGUUGGGUUAUUUAUAAAGGGAAGUUUAUUAGAUUAAUAGUAGAUUUUUUUGUAGAAGUUUUAUAAGUUAGAAGAGAGUGGGGGUUAAUAUUUAAUAUUUUUAAAGAAAAGAAUUUUUAAUUUAGAAUUUUAUAUUUAGUUAAAUUAAGUUUUAUAAGUGAAGGAGAAAUAAAAUUUUUUAUAGAUAAGUAAAUGUUGAGAGAUUUUGUUAUUAUUAGGUUUGUUUUAAAAGAGUUUUUGAAGGAAGUAUUAAAUAUGGAAAGGAAUAAUUAGUAUUAGUUAUUGUAAAAAUAUGUUAAAUUGUAAAGAUUAUUAAGGUUAGGAAGAAAUU